rnacentral:sRNA from 1 species
AGGACCUCAUGAGUAAGCUGUGGCGGCGUGGGAGCACCUCUGGGGCUAUGGAGGCCCCUGAGCCGGGUAAGCGCGGAUAGAUCAAGCAAUUUAGGCCGUGUUAGAAAAGAAGUCCCGUUCUUGCUCCUCGGAGAGUCCAGGGUACUUCGGCCACAGGUGGGAAGGAGAAAGGCGGUGCUGUUGUUAUGGCUUUCCUUCCACAGGAGAAGCCCUGGAGUUGGGCCUGGCGGGUGCCCAUGGCCAUGGAGUGCACAAGAAAAAACACAAGAAGCACAAGAAGAAACACAAGAAGAAACACCAUCAGGAAGAAGACGCCGGGCCCACGCAGCCGUCCCCUGCCAAGCCCCAGCUCAAACUCAAAAUCAAGCUUGGGGGACAAGUCUUGGGGACCAAGAGUGUUCCUACCUUCACUGUGAUCCCAGAGGGGCCUCGCUCACCCUCUCCCCUUAUGGUUGUGGAUAAUGAAGAGGAACCUAUGGAAGGAGUCCCCCUUGAGCAGUACCGUGCCUGGCUGGAUGAAGACAGUAAUCUCUCUCCCUCUCCACUUCGGGACCUAUCAGGAGGGUUAGGGGGUCAGGAGGAAGAGGAGGAACAGAGGUGGCUGGAUGCCCUGGAGAAGGGGGAGCUGGAUGACAAUGGAGACCUCAAGAAGGAGAUCAAUGAGCGGCUGCUUACUGCUCGACAGCGAGCUCUGCUCCAGAAGGCGCGGAGUCAACCUUCCGCGAUGCUGCCGCUUCCUGUGGCUGAGGGCUGUCCACCUCCCGCCCUCACAGAGGAGA